rnacentral:rRNA from 1 species
AGCUCCAAUAGCGUAUAUUAAAGUUGUUGCGGUAAAAGCUCGUAGUUGGAUUUCUGUUGAGGGUGACCGGUCCGCACCACGUGCUGGUAUCUGGUUCAGCCUCGGCAUCCUCUCGAUGGACGUUUCUGCGCUUGAUUGCGUGGAGCGGAUCUCGAGACUUUUACUUUGAGGAAAUUAGAGUGUUCACGGCAGGCUAUCGCCAGGAUACAUUAGCAUGGAAUAAUACUAUAGGAUCUCGGUUCUAUUUUGUUGGUUUCUAGAAUUGAGAUAAUGGUUAAUAGGGACAAUUGGGGGCAUUCGUAUCAACACGUCAGAGGUGGAAUUCUUGGAUUGUGUUGCGACGAACUACUGCGAAAGCAUUUGCCAAGGAUGUUUUCA